rnacentral:rRNA from 1 species
CAAUAGCGUAUAUUAAAGUUGUUGCAGUUAAAAAGCUCGUAGUUGGAUUUCGGGGCCCCGGGCGUUCGUUGCGUUUCCCGCUGGACUCGUUUCGGUGGGUGCGUGGCGGGCGUCGGUCUCUGAGUCGGAUCGGUCCGCCGAGAGGCGUGUACUGACCGACGGCCCCUGUUGUCUCUCGGGUUGCCCGCCUGCUCUUAACUGUUGCGGACGGGGAGUUCGGGACGUUUACUUUGAACAAAUUAGAGUGUUCCAAGCAGGCCGAUUGCUUUGAAUACAUUAGCAUGGAAUAACACGAUAGGACUCUGGCCUAUCUUGUUGGUCUGUAGGACCGGAGUAAUGAUUAAGAGGGACAGUCGGGGGCAUUCGUAUUUCAUUGUCAGAGGUGAAAUUCUUGGAUUUAUGAAAGACGAACUACUGCGAAAGCAUUUGCCAAGGAUGUUUUCAUUAA